GAUGAAGAACGCAGCGAAAUGCGAUAAGUAGUGUGAAUUGCAGAAUUCAGUGAAUCAUCGAAUCUUUGAACGCACAUUGCGCCCCUUGGUAUCCCGAGGGGCAUGCCUGUUCGAGCGUCAUUUCACCACUCAAGCCUGGCUUGGUGUUGGGCGACGUCCUCUUUGGGGACGCGCCUCGAAACGCUCGGCGGCGUGGCACCGGCUUUAAGCGUAGCAGAAUCUUUCGCUUUGGAAGUCGGGGCCCCGUCUGCCGGAAGACCUGCUCGCAAGGUUGACCUCGGAUCAGGCAGGGAUACCCGCUGAACUUAAGCAUAUCAAUAAGAGGAGGA
rnacentral:misc_RNA from 1 species